rnacentral:rRNA from 1 species
AGUGAACGCUGGCGGUAGGCCUAACACAUGCAAGUCGAACGGCAGCACAGUAAGAGCUUGCUCUUACGGGUGGCGAGUGGCGGACGGGUGAGGAAUACAUCGGAAUCUACUUUUUCGUGGGGGAUAACGUAGGGAAACUUACGCUAAUACAGCAUACGACCUACGGGUGAAAGCAGGGGAUCUUCGGACCUUGCGCGAUUGAAUGAGCCGAUGUCGGGUUAGCUAGUUGGCGGGGUAAAGGCCCACCAAGGCGACGAUCCGUAGCUGGUCUGAGAGGAUGAUCAGCCACACUGGAACUGAGACACGGUCCAGACUCCUACGGGAGGCAGCAGUGGGGAAUAUUGGACAAUGGGCGCAAGCCUGAUCCAGCCAUACCGCGUGGGUGAAGAAGGCCUUCGGGUUGUAAAGCCCUUUUGUUGGGAAAGAAAAGCAGCAGGUUAAUACCCCGCUGUUCUGACGGUACCCAAAGAAUAAGCACCGGCUAACUUCGUG